ensembl:lncRNA
UUUGCCAAAAUCAGAUUUUCCAGCCUGUGAAUGUGUCUGUGUGCCUGCAUGCAGAGCUCUGAGAACUACUCCAGUGGCAGUGCGUGUUCGGCUGGGUGAGCUCUGGAGCUGGCUAUGGGCCUGACAGGCCCUGAGCUUCUGGUGUUGGAUGCUGUGCUCAGUGUGGAGCUCUGCACCACCCAGCCUAUGUGGCAUAGCUCAGCUCAGCUGGCUGAGCUCUGCAGGUGGCUAUGGCCCCGACAGGCCCCGGGGCUUCUGGUAUUGGUCUUAAGACCAGCUCUGCCAUGAUGAGAGCACUAAUGGCAACCUUCCUACCUGAGAGCAGAUCUUUGCAACGCAAGCAUACAGCAAGAGGCUAUUACAGUAUCAUGGGGAGACCACGCUGCCCAACCAGGACCUCAGCCCCCAUCGGCUCUUCUUCCUAAGCUAUGCCCAGACCUUGUAUCCAGGGCUGGUUCCACCUUGACACGACACACUUCUGUACCCGUGCUCCCUCUGCAAAAGCAGUCCCGAAUUCCUCAACACAUUUAGAGACACCCUCGAAGAAUCCUCCAUCAAACCCACUUCCCUACC